rnacentral:rRNA from 1 species
GACAGAGGGUGCAAACGUUGUUCGGAAUUACUGGGCGUAAAGCGUGCGCAGGCGGCUUUGCAAGACAGAUGUGAAAUCCCCGGGCUCAACCUGGGAACUGCAUUUGUGACUGCAUGGCUGGAGUGCGGCAGAGGGGGAUGGAAUUCCGCGUGUAGCAGUGAAAUGCGUAGAUAUCCGGAGGAACACCAGUGGCGAAAGCGGCCACCUGGACUGCACCUGACGCUAACACGCGAAAGCUAGGGGAGCGAACGGG